AAAACAUGCUUAUACAUUUUUAUUACAUUGAAAAUACCCUAAAUAAAAUUUAUCUUUUAACUCAGUUUUGAAAUGUUAUAAAUUGUUUAUAGAAGUUAUUAGCAUUGUGGCUUUAAAAGACAAAAACAAAGAUAAGCUUUCUAUGUCUGAUAAAAAAUAUCGAAAACAAUCCCUAAAGCUGUUAAUGAAAAAUAAAUAUGGGAUUUAUCGUUCAUUAAACACACCGAGUAUCUGUGGAGCCAUUAAUAUAGUUAAAACUAAUGACAUUUCAGACCUAUAUGGUGCAAAUGAUGAAUUGAAAGAUGCAGCUGUAAAGCAAAAUGCUGUAAGACAAUAUACAAUAAUAUAUAAAGUAUAACACAGUUCAAAACCUAAGCAUGGAAUGCCAAAAGAAAACUUGAUUAAAGUUUGGUAAUCUAAUUGAUAUCUAGUUAAAUUUUUUCUAGUUGUUAUUUAGAAAUCUAGCUGUGUCAAAACAGGAGCAUUCUAGUUAUAUGUGACACUUUAUUUUUUGGUCCCCACACGCAUUGUGCUUUUAUUGACACUAGUUUGUUAUUAAUUCUCUACAAUUUUUUAUACAUAUUAUAUUGUAACAUUUGUUAUAUCUGUUUAUAGAUAGAAAUGAUAUAAUGUAUAGGAGGAAAUAAUUAUGGCGAAAUGGUACGCAAUAUUUUAAACAUGUUAUAAUUUUGUGUUUAAAAUAAAUAACCCAAUUAAUAUA